rnacentral:lncRNA from 1 species
AAACCCUAAUGUUUGGAUCUAGGUUUCUCUAUUGUACAUACUUUGAAUCCAAGACUAUAAACCCUAAUUCUAGCAUAUGGAAAUCAAUAUUAACAUAUAAAUGGGUUUAAGAACAUACCUUGGUUGUUAUAUAGCAAUAACAAUCCUAAUCCUCCUUGAAUUGACUUUGGAAGGCUUAGAGUCACAAGUGUCACUCCUCUAAUGUCUUACAAACACCAUAAGCAAGUGGAGAAGGUAUAAAGAGAGAGGAGAGAGGUAGGAAUUCGUCCUUAGAUGCUCUAGGGAUCAAGUGCACGAAUUCUAAGGCCUUAGGGGUCUUUAUAUAGGGUUGGGAUUAGGGUUUCAGUCCUUAUCCUUAUCUAGUUACUUGCCCAUCAAGCAACCAUAAGAUAAGUCUUAGAAAAACCCUUAUCUCUUGGCCUUUGACGAUUUUAAGGAUAUCUUAUCCUUGAAUUCAUCCAUCCAUUAUCAAGGAUAACCAUUGCCCUAUUUUGCAACUAUGAUAUAAUUAGAAUUCAACCCCUCUAGUUUAAUUAAUUACAUUUGAUCACAAAAUUAAUUCUUAAUUAAUUAUUGACCAAUAUUAAUUAAACAAAUAUGAUUUCUCCUUUAAUAUAUUAUUCUUAUAACAUAUUAAUAAAUCAUAAUAACCUCUCUCUCUAUUUAUUUCUCCAAUCAAGUUGCUUUGGUGAAGGCAACCCAAAAGGACCAUGCACCAUCGGGUCAAGUACAUACCAAAAUAGUUAUGGACUUAGACACUAAUCCAACAGUCUCCCACUUGGAUAAGUCUAAUAACUAUUCUGCGUAUGACUUCAGAUCCCGAUCUGCAAUCGUAGCUUUCCAAAGCCGCUGUCAACUCUGAUCAUAUCAGAUACGCGUGUCCUUAGAUAAGGGAUCAUAUAUUCCUCCAUUCUAGAUAUCAUAUGAGAUAUGAUUUCAAAUCAUUCUCUUUGUACUAUAUCUCGAUUUCCGAUUUAUGACGACUGACUAAUUGAACAAAUCAAAUUAGCCCUAGCCCGGCCGAGCAUUUACGUUUGUCAUCACUAAACCAUCGAGGGGCCCAAAGAUAUCGCUUUUAUCCUACUUUGAAUAAAAGGAACGGAUAAACUUUGAUACAAUGCUCGCUUGCACUUACGCACCGAAUCACACACAACAAUAUGUUUUAUAACACCAAGUUACUAGUGCGUUUACAUAUUAUCAAUGUGCAACCGAUUCGCAAGAUACAACUCACACAUCUCGGUUUCAAGAAUAUAAGAUGUUAUCGUCUCACCAAUCACUCGUGAUACAAUCCAUGGAGUGAUCCAAGUGAGCGUGGGUUUAAUCCAAUGCUCAAAUCACAUUCAUAAGCACUCAUGAACGUUGCAGCAAACAUUUGCUUAUGUCUAAUACUCUUUUAGACAAUCCACACACCAAUUCACGACAGUCUUCAUUCAUAUCUACUUCCAACAUAUGAACGACUGUGGCCCGUUUGAAUAAUUCGAUUAUUCUUAAUAAACUCAAUUAUUCUGGAAGUCAAAACAUGCAAAUGUGAAACACAAGAAUAAUACUAAUCCCAUAUGGCCUCAAACCUUUGAGUAUAAAUAAAACACCUUUUAUUUAUCACCAUAUUGAUUACUCAUUAUUUGUCGUUUCGGGUAAUCAACUUCUUACUUGAAUUCCAACACUUGUCCCAUGCUCCUAGCAUGCACACAAUGUUUACCUAUGGUUCUUACUUUGUGAAAUAGAUCACAUUGAACACAUUUCCAAUCCUUCUCAUUUCACAACUCCAAAUCCGUUUUUCAUAAGUCAAAGAAUAUCAAAUUCUUGCUACUUAUAGAAUAUGCUAGAUUCUAACAUUCUAUGCAACUAUCCUUUCGUAAUGUCACUGCACCAAAGUCACAAAGACUAUUGCCAAUGAUAUUACAAAGUCCUCUAUCGGAGAUUGUUACAAGACAAUUCCAUAGACGUGAUGUCUCUCACUCAAAGUACAUUCUUUGAACAUCCUUUUGCAUAGAAGUUUCUAAUCUAGUCAUAGAUUUCUCAAUAUUCAAUUCCCAAUAUGGACACACUUCCAUAUGUUCCAUAUGACAACUCAUUCUUAAUAGAAUCUUAUCUAUUCGUAAUGAUGUCGAUAUGGUCCAUCCAAUAUGGAAACAUUUCCAUAUUUUCCAAUACUAUACUUCCAACUACUCACAAGCGACCAAUCCUCGUCGAACUUUGGAUUGUCCUUUGAUAGUUGUUUAAUUAUUUUAGUCAAAACCAAUUCUAGUCCCUUUUCCCUCUAAAUGCGCUCGACAUUUGGAAAAUUUUAGAAUGGUCAAACAUUAAAGCAUUUGCAAUCGAUCCUAUACCCGAAGCGUAUGGGACACGACGCAUAAUGUUUUAUUUGCUAUGUUCUCAAAAUUCGAAUUGUGAAGAGGGAUGCCGUAAUCAUAAUCGAAAUUUUAAGAACACACUAUGUACCUUUGACUAAAUUUAUUAACAUUUCUCAACCUAAUCCUUUAGAUUUGAAAUGAAGCAUAAUAUUCUCUCCCUUAAUUAUAGCAAAACAACCUUUCAACUCUUACAACUUUGCAAAGUAUGACUCUUGUUUUCUAUAAUUAAUAUUGCUAACCUUGCAAUACUUUCCUUAAUAAUCAUACAAUCAUAACAUUUAUGCUCCCACUAUCAUGAUGAUUAUUAUAAAACAUAACACUUAUGCUCCCACUAGCUUCGACAUGUAUUCAUAAACAUCUUAACUUUCAGAAAACAAUACUUAUUGAAUUUCUUAAGUUCAUGUUUCUAAUACUUAGUGCUUUGAUAAUCCUUUAUCAAUGCUUCUUGAACUUAUACACCUUUGCCUUCGAUAGUUCAUAUGUGUGUCUAAACAAUUAAGACUAAUUGCCAAACCUCACAAUUCAAAUUAUGGAAAGGGAUGCCGUAACCAUGAUUGAAUUUGAGAAUGCAAUUUUACAAUCACUAUCUUCUUAAAAUCUCUCUUAGUGAAAGCAUUUCUUCACAAUCAUUUUCAUGAAGGAGGAAAUCUUAUGACACUUAGAUUUGAGCGGUGUAUGUGUUCCUAUCCAUGUGAAUUUGUUAAAACUAAAGUUUACGACAAAUUCAAACUCAUAUGGACCGAGCUUUCUUAAUCUUGAUUUCUUGCCUUAUGGUAGCACAGCUGCCCACCAUGUCUUCCAAGUAGUUAAGCAGCUCACCUUUUCUUAUCAAUGUACCUUUCAUUGAUUAAGGUGCUUUGCCUUUUAUGCGUUCAAAAUGAGAACUCAUAGAACUCUCAUGCAUAAUUAACUCGAUUGGAUUGGCACAGAAUCAAAAUAAUGUCAUCACGAUAGGUUUUAAACCUUAACUCGUGUGCUAGUCAUGAUCGAUAAGGUUUAUUUGAUUUGUUCUUGAAACCUUUCAAGACCAUUAAGACUCCCACUGACUCCUUGACAUAUAAGGUUCUCUUGUCAAUAACCAUUUCUUGACAAACAAAUAUUCAAGAGUUAGUGUAGCUUUUAUCAAAACUCUUCAUAAAUUGGUCCUAGUUGGUCUUUGUCUUAUCUAAGACAUCACAACUUACCACAUUUAAUGAAUGUUUUAAACCUUCUUAAUACUUUUCACUCAUUGUCACAAUCUUAACUUUAAGACUUGUUUUGGAACGAAGUAUGAUUGACUUCUUGAUUUUAUCAUUUCUUCAAUCUUUGAUUCCUCUUCUUGGACAUACAAUUGUACCAAGACUCGCUUAGAGGAUCAAUUGAAAUAUGGUUCUUAAUCAUUACGACCUAGCAUAAAAGGUACUCUCCCUUCUUCUUAGAAUGGAGAAACUUUUAUCUCUCUGCCUACUUGAUUCUUGUUAUUCGUUCUACGAUUGAUUUAAACCUUUUCAAUCAACUAACAACUAUACUUAAUCUUAUAAUUAUAAUCAUAUUUACUAAACUUUUAGUAAACCAUGACGAAUAUCUUGUUACUCUUAUGGUGGACUUUGAUCAACACACAACUUUGUGUACUCGAUCUCCUAGUCCUUCACUUGACACUUUGUCAAUGAAUUAGUCUAAUUUCCAAAUACGAAAUUUCUCAUUCAUCGUGCAUCCACGUUGCAUGAUUCCAAGUUUCUGUCCAAUUGAAACUUGGGCGAUGAGAAACUCUCCCUAUUUGGUAAAUUCUCGACUUUCCAUAAAUAACAUAAUAAGAACCAAAUCCAUUAUUGCUAAUAAUAGAACCAUUUUAACAUCAAUUUUUCAUACACGCCAUUGUAAGGAUAAAUAAAUAAAAUUUAAAAUCAAAAUUUAUUUUAUUGCGGAAAAANNNNNNNNNNNNNCUAUGCUAAUACAUCUUUCUUAGCAAUCUAAUUCUAACUCUAAGUAGUAGCUCAAGAAUCUAAUCUUCGAGAAAUGCGAUCGAAAUCCAUUCCUUCACGGUUAGAUUCUGCUCACUUCUUCCCUUAAGCUUUCUUUCUUUUCUUUGAUCCUACAAAACAUCAAUUGUAAUCUUAUUACAUUAUGUAUUAAGAAUCUGGAAUAGAACCUUAAAAGAGUUAGUCAAUGGAUUUUACCUAAAGCAGAGCCAUACGUUUCGAUUCUCCCAUAUCUUAGAUCGCUUAGGUAAAUAGGGCAGCUUCGUCUCCAAUGCCCUUUCUCUUGGCAAUAAAAGCAAAUUGACUCUUUUGGAACAGGACAUGGAACUACUUCAGACAUUGCCUUUCUCUUAUGAUCAAACUUUUCGAUCAUAGCAUGUCUUUCGUUGCCAUUGUCUAUAUCCAUAGAGGUCUUGAAGGCAGAUUCACCAAUCAACUUUGCUUUUCUAUUGCGCCAAACCAUUGCUGAUUCAGCAGCAAUAAGCAUAUAGGUGAGAUCUAUAAGGGUCACGUCGUAGUUCAUCAUAUAGUACUCUCUUACGAACUCACUAUAUGAGUUAGGAAGUGACUGAAGAACCCAAUCAACAGCCAUUUCCUCACAGACAACGGAUCCCAACAUUCUUAACCUAUCAAUGUGUGACUUCAUCCCUAGGACGUGUGCACACACCGACUUUCCUUCUUUAUGUUUACUUGCCAAAAGGGCUUGAGUGAUCUUGAACUUUUCAAGCCUUUGAACUUGUGGGUUAGGGAGAAUAAUUGGAGGAGGUGGAGGAAGUGAAGUAUGAUUUCUUGUUCCUCGAUCGAAUCGUGGAAUAUCAUCUUCAUGUGGAAUGCUUGUUCCACGGGAUUUGAGAAGACCAUAGUUGUCAAACUUUGACAUCUACAAAACGGGAGAAAACGAAUUCAAGUUAGUUGAUUGAUUGAGUCCUUAGUAAAUCACCCAAAUGAGAUACUAAGGCUAGGACCCAACACAAUAUUCUACAACUCGGGAGAGGGAUGCCGUAACCCAAAUUGCAGAACAUUUGAAGGUAAGUGAAUGACGAUUCACUAAUUUCCACCAUGAAAAACGAAAAAGAAAUUUAAGUUUUAAAUCUAUGAAAACUCCUAGAUCCUUUGAGAUUCAUUGAACAUUUCAAUGGCAUGUUUAAAUCUCGAUAUGCCCCUCUUGUUUGUGACUGGGAUGCCGAGGAUCACAAAGCGGGUGUGAAUAACCAUGCAAACUUACAUGGUGCCCUCACAUGUUACAGUCACCUAUUCGAUGUGCCGGUAAACCACACACGCUCCACCGAACUAUGACAAACAUUGAGUCACCCUUUGCUACCUUUGCUUAGAACCAUUUAGUGUGCCGGUAAACCACACACGCUCCACUAACGUCUUCGCAAGGGCACAAAGUGUAAUUUCAUGGAAUUGCAUCAAUUCACUUUUGCCUAAGUAACUAAGAUUGGGAAUUUUAUGAAAACAUUUAGUUACUUUUAUACUUCAUUAUACUUAUAAUGGAAGGUUUCGUCCUAUCCUACCCGUUCGGCUAACGACCCUCCACUAGUCAAGAGUGCGGUGGGUAAGAGUGGAUACCCAUUCAAUCGCCAUUUUAUAGGCAAUUUCCUUAAACACCCCUUAUAGACCAGCUUCGUGAAUGAGGCCUACUAACGGUAAGACUGACUUUUACUCAUACAUAUAUAUAAUGUUAGACUUUUAAUGUUAUAUAUAGUAUAGGGUGUAUUUUACACUUUUAAAAUACUAGGUGGUCAAAUUUAACAAUUAUACUUUUAAUUCAAUUAAAUUGUAAACCUAAACUUUUAUGGAUUUAUUAAACCUCUUUUAAUUAUACACCUUAAUUAAUUAAUAAAACCAUAAGGGUGUGAUUUGAACUUUUUCAAAACUAUACUAGAGUUUUAGAAUUUAACAUUCCUAAUUAAACUUUUAAUCAACUUUUAAAUUCCAAAACUUGAGGGCAAGUUUUGAAACAUUUCAACACAUUAGGGUUUAGAAUUUAAAUAUACAUCAAAAUUAAACCAUUUAAUCAAAAUUUAAAUUCCAAAACUUGAGGGCAAGUUUUGAAACCUUUUUCAAAACAUUAGGGUUUCAACUAUUUAAAUUUCAAAACAACAAAACUUUUGGGUUCAAAUUUAAACUAUAAAACCUAAAGGGAAAAUAUGAAACUUUUCAUAACAACAAGGAUCAAAUAACAAAUAAUCUAAAUUAACAUUUAAUCACAUAAUUAUCCAUAUUUGAUUUAUUUAAUGAUUUCUUGCAAAACAAUUUAUCAAUUUAGUCAAAAUAAUUAAUCAAUUAUCACAUAAGGAAACAAUUAUCUUAUUAAUUGAUAAAUAUCUUCAAUUAGAUCAAAAAUAUAGUCAAAUAUAUCAUAAAAUCGGAUUAAUAUUGAUCUAACAUGAUAAGGUAACUAUCCAUAAGCAAAAACAGCAAGAAAUCCCGAAGUACCCUCCAUCUGACGAGUUGACUCGUCGAGUCAGGCUUGGACUCGUCGAGUCUGCAUGGACUCGGCGAGUUCAGCUAUGGACUCGGCGAGUCCAGCCUCCAGAACAUCAAAAAUCGAAUUUUUUGAACAUGUAAUGCAUCAAUACAAUUGAAACCAGUCUAGGCUCUGAUACCACUGAUGGGUUUUGGUCAUAAGACAUCCUAUGUGCUCAUACAAACCCUAAUGCUUGGAUCUAGGUUUCUCUAUUUUACAUACUUUGAAUCCAAGACUAUAAACCCUAAUUCUAGCAUAUGGAAAUCAAUAUUAACAAAGAAAUCGGUUUAAGAACAUACCUUGGUUGUUAUAUAGCAAUAACAAUCCUAAUCCUCCUUGAAUUGACUUUGGAAGGCUUAGAGUCACAAGUGUCACUCCUCUAAUGGCUUACAAACACCAUAAGCAAGUGGAGAAGGUAUAAAGAGAGAGGAGAGAGGUAGGAAUUCGUCCUUAGAUGCUCU